GACUUGAACCAGCACGCAGAUCGGAAAGCCACUUCGAAGGAAACCUUGUAGAGAAGAAGAGCAACUUUCUAAUUCCUGUCAAACUAAGAGGCGGAACCAAGCCCAGAAGUAGCCUCAAGGCCUGGAGAGAGCAGAGCAGAGAGCCGACUCCACACUCCAGCCAAGGCUCAAGAAAGGCUUUGCUUCUGGAGGCGGCAUUGUUCCUCCAUCCGCUCAGCCUCCGCGUCUCCCCUCCGCGGACUCUCAGAAUCACUGCCUUUCUCGGGUACCUCUCCGCCGACCUCCGGGAUCUGGGUGCCUGGGUCCCAAGGCGCACCCAAGCAGGCUCACUGCAGAGGCUGGGGCGCCGCUCCGAAGACUAGGAGCCUGUGCACGAGUCCGCCCCGACCAGGGCAGCGCGCAGCGCACACUCAGUGUCUCACUCCUCUCGGCUUCCCUGGCUCCCACGGACUCGGCUGGCCUCUCACCACCCACUCGGGUUCGCCUUUCCUGCCUUGGCUUCCCACACCAGCUCCGCACCGCCGCCACAGCCGCGUCCCGACGCUCCGAACCCUAGCAGGCCGGGAUGAAGGGAUGCCAGGGUCAGGGAUGCACCCGAAGGAGAAGAGAGGCUAAGGCGAGCCGGGGCAGGUGGGGUGUCGCGGGGUGCGGGAGAGGGCGUGCGCGAGCGAGCCCCCGAGAAAGAUGCAUGUGCUCGGCCACCGCGCUGGAAGAAGGACCGAGGGGGCAGGAUGCAACGUGGAGAACGCCCACCGCGAGGGUGCGCAAAACCGGCGAUUUGCAAAGUGCCAGGGCCAGACAGGCAGAGGGGGAGGAAGGAGGCUGGCUGAAGACCAGGAACAGAGAGAAGAGCCCACUUCUCCAUCAAAAGGUCUGUUCGGUUAACGCAUCCCCAGAGCAGGAGUUAAUCGAGGACUGGAUGCAGUGUAAAAGGUGGGUUUUAAAAAACUCGCUGGCCGCGUAGGUCUUCUUAUGCUAGACUCAGCUCCCUCUCUCUCAACUCUGGGGAUUUGCCCUCCCUGUGACACAACUGGAAUUUACAGGAGCUGAAGCCCACUGUCCUCCUUGCUGUUUAUCUGCAUUUUGGAGAUUCUAUGAAACCUAGUAUUGAAGAAACCACCCAGCUCAUUAAAGUUCAUUAAUUUUUAUUGUUUUUAUUUUCAUCGGAAGAUAGUAGUGGAGACUUAACACCAAGAUGUGUUUAAAACAUUGAUCUGAUCGACAUAGC
rnacentral:lncRNA from 1 species